UGUUCUCACCUCUAGAUGUCAAAAGCUGAAGAGCUCUAACUUCAUGUGCCAAAGCAGAAGCUGUUUCUCCUGCCUCUGCCCUGCUCUCCGCAGCUGUCCUUGCCCAGGGUGCUGCACACAGGUGUUGCUGUGGGAGAGCCUGGCUCAUGGAAGGCAGAGAGGUCCUGCUCACUCACCUUGUGUCAGCUGGGGUGCCUGGAGAAGCUCGUCUCUUCCCUGCAUCCUGAGACCAGUCCCGUUCUGUUUCUCCCUUCCCGAGCGCCCGGGGCGUCUGCGGCGCUGCGCUCUGACGGCGGCGGGGAAGCGGAUCCGUGCAGCGAUUAAAUCACUCGCACAAGGGCACGCCGUGAAUCGCUGGUGCUGCCAAGAAUAGCACCCCCGGUCUCUUGGCUCUCUGAAGCCCACCCUCAACACUCCAGCCUCCUUUCCUUGGGUUAUGAACAUUUCUGCAGCAAGAUCUGAAGUAGCCAGAUUCCAGCUUAGAUCAAAGUCCCUCGGAUUCACUUGUGAUUUCUGGGCCAUAAAGCAGAAGGUAAUUGAAAAAUGGGAGCUGAAGACAGUGCAGUGUAUGUACUUGUGAGAGCUGGAUGCCCUUCCUCUUCCUUGCGUCUUUACUCAGUUGUUAUGUAUUUGGAUUGAAAAUGGAGGAUUUUUGUCUGGCUGACAGCUGGUGGCCACCGCUGGCCCAAGGGCUCCUGGCCCUGGACUUGUCUUGCAGUCCUUGCAGCAGCUGGCUUUGGAUGACCAGCUUGCUUUACUUAGAAGGCUGAUACAUCCAUGACAUGAUAAACUGAGCAGCUGAAUGCUUUGGAGCCUUCAAAGCAUAACAGAGGGUUGAGUUUUGUUGCAUUUUGAGCCUGUGGAAGGCGAAAGUGGCACUCUGGCAUUCUUUAUUCAUGCGGUCCCAACAUGGAGUAUGGCGAGUUGCACAGUGUGAUGGGAGCAGAGAACGUUUGUGCUGAAAACAGAGGCUGAAAUGUUUCCUGUCAUGGAAAAGAUGAACAAGCCAGUUCCACAUCAGCUUUCUUUUCUGAGACUGCUGGAUCAUACAUCUAUGUUCUUGCUGCUGGCGCCUGUGGCACAUUCCAUGCAUUGGUCUUCCCAUCCCUGCCUGGGCUCUCUUCUGCAGGCAGCUGCUGGGGGUCAGCAAAUGCAUAAGGAAGGUACAGUCACCCUUCUGACUGACAGCACUCCCCAAAGGCUCACUCUCCAGCCCUGGAGCCUGCUUUGCCAGCCCUGGGAGCACUGCUGCGGUGUGGGCUAUUCCUGCCUCUCCACAUGCCUCUGUGCACAUACGUCUGGCCGUGACCGCUGCUGUGUUUGGAGCUGUGGCUUUUGUCAGAACCCAGGAAUGCAGCCUCAGGAACAGAACCCUGCACAGGCAAACUUGGCAGAACCUGGGCAGCGUCUGGAGCAGCAGUUAGGAAUCUGGGACUGGGAGCUGACCGCACUGUUAUUGAGUGGUCUUGCAUUCCCAGGAGGACAAAUCAGGGCCUUGGUUGCCAGGUUUGCAGUUUAAAAAAAGCCUUUGCUUUACUGAAUGUACAGCCUAAGUGUCAUUGUUCUCUUCUCCAUUCUGGGUUGUUUUUCAGAAAACAAGACCAGUUUAGGAAAUUUAAAUCUCUCCUAAAAAAGAAAUUUAAUCUAGAGAAGUCCCUCAGUGCUUCCAUUAUUAGUAUAAGCCAAAUUUAUUUACUUCUGUAGCUGAAAUUGCAUUACUAAAGAACAUAAAGUUUCUUUAAUGUUGUUUGAUGGUUUUUGUCUGGUUUUGAAUGGAAGUUGGGAUUAUGUGACCAUCUCGUGGCUGUAACACUUGUCAGUUCAUUUAAAUUAAUAUUUUAGUUUCUUAUUUAUUAUCACAAAGCUUAUUGGUUUGUUAUGAAUGAUACCCAAAUUUGUGAUGCUGAGAAGGUAAAGUUGCGGUGUGAGCCCACCUGGAAUCCUUGUCACAGGAGAAAUGCACAGGGAGCAACCACGGACGGGCUGGUUCACCAGCACUCCAGAGGGCUGUCUGUUUGUGUGUGUCACGAUUUUCAGGUUAUUUCUCAUAUCCUGAUGCCACUGAAAAGUCAGCCUUUUUUAGAAAAGUGUAGAAUCUAAUGAGCAGCGUGUUUGAAAACCUCAGCCAUUCCCAGGGCACAGGUGAGCGAUACAAACACGGCACAAGCAAGUGACACCUGGGGAUGGGCGUCUUGGAAAGAAAACAUCAAAGGCAUCACACAGUGAUCAGGGGUGGGCAAGUGACAGGACCAGGGAGCUGGAGACUUGUGCAAAGCUGCUCGGUUCUUCACCCGGUGCCAGGGAGCUUCAGUUCACAAAGAGAGUAGCUGGAAAAACUACCCAGAAAUAGAUGACCUUUCAAAAGGCCUCUAAUAUACAAUUACCUGAUGUUCACUGAAGUGGUUCACGUGCUUCCCACUCUAAAUGAUUUUCUAGGUUCACCCAUGUGUGAAAAGGGGUCUGAUUUAAUGGAGGAAAGAAACUUCAAAAAGGAGAGAAAUACGCCAGGGAAUUUUACUGGUUGUUUGCUCCAAGGGAAGAAAAGGGCAAAUAAAUGCAGCCACCUCAAAGUCACCUUUUGACUUUGAACUUUAAAAGAAAGGAACAUAGGAGAACUCUGAGGUAUUGACAGCAUUUGGCAGAAGCUGUUCUAUGGAGAUAGGUAGGAAACUUAGGAUCCAGUGGAAUUUGCUUUCUUAGACAGAUGAUAAGUUCUUUUUUCUUUUUCCUAGUAUAACAGAGUUAUUACAGCCCCUGUUUUCCUUACUGCCUUUUCUUUCCUUCUGCCCUGGGUCAUCUGGUACAAGAGAUGCUUUGCCUGUGUGGCCACCAGUGCUCACACCAGGAGCUGGGCAUGCAGAGUCUCAGCUCUGAUCCUGAACCAAAGCAAGCGAGUUAUCUGGGGCUGCCAUCUCUAGUGGGCUUUAGGCAAAAUACUUUUCUAAGGAAAUGAUUUCUAUGGCUGGCACAGAAGUGCCUCUCCUGUGCCCAGGUGCACACAGCAGGCUUCAAUAGUUCAGUGUUCUCUUCACGGCCCCUGCUCUGAGCCCCCAGCAACACGGGGGAAGGGGGGGCAGAGCCCACCCCCACGUGGGAAAGCAGCAGCAUUCACAAACCCAGAGACUUUUGGAAACCAGCGAAUGGGAUUUCCACAUAUGAUGAGAGAGCACGCUGGGCAACAGAAACUAUAUUUGUAUGGCAGAAAUUUAUUUUAAAUAACCUUGGAACAUAAAGAUUUUCAUGAACAAAAGCAAGUGACAGUCCCGUCCCCCAUCUGCCUUAUCUGACAAAACAAAGUCCCUGAGACAGGUCAGACAGACAAGAGCAUCAACGUGGCUGUUGUAGCACUGAAGCACUUUUCGUUUGAUCAGGUAUCCAAGUAUCCUUUUGGAGAAAAAAAUCCCAAAGUUUAACUUUGGAUCCAAAGCAUUAGACUUGUGAUUCCACAGAAUUUUGUCACUGUUCUAUUGCUUUUCAAUGUGAGCUCAUGAACCUGGAAUGAAAUUGUCCUUUGGGGACAAAACAAAACAGAUGAAAAAUAAAUGCUCAUGUAAGGUUUGGAGACCAAGGGGUUCCUGAGCCAUGGUCUUUAUUGUGUUUCUUUUCCAUCAAGUUCAGGAGAAACUUUGAGCAGGAUUUGCUGCAGUUGAGGGAGACAGAAAAAGAUCAUAUUAAAAAUAGAAGAACCCUGAACAAGGUUUUUCAAAAAGCCAUUUAUUUUCCUAUAUGAGACAUCCAGAUCCAAAAGUGAAUGGUGAGUCAGGAAUGCACACAGCUCCAGCAGCAGCUUCCAGGCUCUCUGACUGUGGCUGUGCUGGAAGGCAGGUCAACCUGAGCUCACAGCAGCAGCAGUGUGGGAUGAUGUGGAGCUCCUCAGGCUUCUGCCUCCUCCUUUUGGAGGCUGCACAAUGUGCACGUUGUGUUCCUGAAUUCAUGCCUCUUCUGGCAAUUUGUCUGCCUGACCCUUGAGUUUCUGUGUUCAUCUCCAGGGCCCAGAGCUCUGCCAGCAGCUUGCUGAGACCACGGGCAGGUGUCUCAGCUUCCCACAGGGACUGCUUCCCACAGGGACUGCGUCUCUGCCGGCUGAGGAGCUGCCACGAGGGUGCCAGGAGUGCAGCCACACACAACUGCACUCCCCGUGUUCUAAGGACAGUGUGCUGAUGAGCCAGCCACAGCAGAGAGACUGAAAGAUGUGAGAGUUUCUCCUGGAGCCUGCUUUUAGCUCUGCAUGGCCCUGUUUGGGAAUGGGCUGUACACUACAUGCCUUUAGCUUGAACUUGCACUUCAUCAGUCUGAGAGGAAGAAUGGAAGAAAUGUUCUGAGAGAAAAUUCCAUUUAUGUCUCUGCCACCUGCUAAUGGCAUAUGUGAGCUGCUGCGUGCCAGUAGCCGAUGGCAAAGAUAACAUCAGUGUGGAGAAAAUUGUGCGGCGCUGAAAAUGAGACUCGUGUUCAGAUAACCCGAUAGUUCAGCGCCUGCUGGGGCCAGGUGUGGGGCCAGGCUCUGCUCACCAACGCUCACACAGACACACUCAGUGUGACGGCCCUGUUGGAAUCCCAGAAAUCAAAUCUUUUAGGGCAGGCAAAAGGACAAAAGCUGAAAAGGUUCUAUUCACAUCCAGCCCCAAAUCAGGCUUUGCUGCAUAUACCUCCACAAUUACUAUGAGCCAGGGCAAGGGAGGCUGACAGGUGGGAACAGCUGCCAAAGUGCCCGGUAAAGCUGCUGCUCUGAAAACUGACAUAACGGCAGAGUAGACAGAGUGGGCAGCUCUUCAGAAGUAAACGUCCAUUUACAGUAGGAUCAUAAAAAUAUCUGAGGCACUCAACAGCAAAAUCCUUGUUGCUUUUCACCCUUGUGCCACCUGGAGUUUUUCCCCGGUGAGGGACUUCGUGGUGUUUUGUGUGAACCGAGAGGUAAUUGUGAGCAACUAUUUAAAUAGCCCUAAUUAUGUUUAGAGAAGACUGGCCCCUGAAAGCAGCUAGGAUCUGUGAAUAAACAUAUUGACACAAGUGACCACCUGAUCUAUGCAUAUGGAUCUAAAAAAAAGCCACUCUGCUAAGUUUAAAUUCCUCAAAGUAAAGCUGAGCAGACACCAGGCGCCAGCAGCUGUGCCUGCCCAAAGCAGCGCGGCGUGGCCACAGCACGUCCUGCCAGCCCGCGGUGUCCUCUGAGAGAACCUGGGCCUUUAAAUACCGGCCUUUAAAUUCCCUGUGCACAGAGAAAGGUGAAGGGACUGGGCCCCCCGAAUGGGGGAUGGACAAGCCCAGAGGCUUACCUUGCUUAAUCUUUGGGCAAACACGCUCAGCGUCUGCUGAGCGCAGCAGCUGAUCCCAGCUGCACCAGCACCGACCCCGCCGGUGCCAGCACCGCCCUGCACAGCUGG